GAUCCUGGCUCAGGACGAACGCUGGCGGCGUGCUUAACACAUGCAAGUCGAACGGAGCACCCUUGACUGAGGUUUCGGCCGAAUGAUAGGAAUGCUUAGUGGCGGACUGGUGAGUAACGCGUGAGGAACCUGCCUUUCAGAGGGGGACAACAGUUGGAAACGACUGCUAAUACCGCAUGAUGCGUAACUGGGACAUCCCGGAUACGCCAAAGAUUUUAUCGCUGAAAGAUGGCCUCGCGU
rnacentral:rRNA from 1 species